rnacentral:rRNA from 1 species
GGGAAUAUUGCGCAAUGGAGGAAACUCUGACGCAGUGACGCCGCGUAUAGGAAGAAGGUUUUCGGAUUGUAAACUAUUGUCCACAGGGAAGAUAAAAGACUGUACCUGUGAAGAAAGCUCCGGCUAACUACGUGCCAGCAGCCGCGGUAAUACGUAGGGAGCAAGCGUUAUCCGGAUUUAUUGGGUUUAAAGGGUGCGUAGGCGGGCUUUUAAGUCAGCGGUAAAAAUUCGGGGCUCAACCCCGUCCGGCCGUUGAAACUGGGGGCCUUGAGUGGGCGAGAAGAAGGCGGAAUGCGUGGUGUAGCGGUGAAAUGCAUAGAUAUCACGCAGAACCCCGAUUGCGAAGGCAGCCUUCCGGCGCCCUACUGACGCUGAGGCACGAAAGUGCGGGGAUCGAACAG